rnacentral:rRNA from 1 species
UACGGGGGGUGCGAGCGUUGUUCGGAUUGAUUGGGCGUAAAGAGCACGUAGGCGGGCUUGUAAGUCGAUUGUGAAAUCCCCAGGCUUAACCUGGGAACUGCAGUCGAAACUGCUAGUCUUGAAUGUUCGAGAGGUUGGUGGAAUUCCAGGUGUAGAAGUGAAAUUCGUAGAUAUCUGGAGGAACACCGGCGGCGAAGGCGGCCAACUGGCGAAACAUUGACGCUGAGGUGCGAAAGCGUGGGGAGCAAACAGG